rnacentral:rRNA from 1 species
GACGAAGGGGGCUAGCGUUGUUCGGAAUUACUGGGCGUAAAGCGAGUGUAGGCGGUUGCCCAAGUCAGGUGUGAAAGCCUUGAGCUCAACUCAAGAAAUGCACUUGGUACCGGGUGGCUAGAGGACCGGAGAGGAUAGUGGAAUUCCCAGUGUAGUGGUGAAAUACGUAGAGAUUGGGAAGAACACCAGUGGCGAAGGCGGCUAUCUGGACGGUUACUGACGCUAAGACUCGAAAGCGUGGGGAGCAAACAGG